GAUGAACGCUGACAGAAUGCUUAACACAUGCAAGUCAACUUGAAUUUGGGUUUUUUAACUUAGAUUUGGGUGGCGGACGGGUGAGUAACGCGUAAAGAACUUGCCUCACAGCUAGGGACAACAUUUAGAAAUGAAUGCUAAUACCUGAUAUUAUGGUUAUAGGGCAUCCUAUAAUUAUGAAAGCUAUAUGCACUGUGAGAGAGCUUUGCGUCCCAUUAGCUAGUUGGAGAGGUAACAGCUCACCAAGGCGAUGAUGGGUAGCCGGCCUGAGAGGGUGAACGGCCACAAGGGGACUGAGACACGGCCCUUACUCCUACGGGAGGCAGCAGUGGGGAAUAUUGGACAAUGGACCGAGAGUCUGAUCCAGCAAUUCUGUGUGCACGAUGAAGUUUUUCGGAAUGUAAAGUGCUUUCAGUUGGGAAGAAAAAAAUGACGGUACCAACAGAAGAAGUGACGGCUAAAUACGUGCCAGCAGCCGCGGUAAUACGUAUGUCACGAGCGUUAUCCGGAUUUAUUGGGCGUAAAGCGCGUCUAGGUGGUUAUGUAAGUCUGAUGUGAAAAUGCAGGGCUCAACUCUGUAUUGCGUUGGAAACUGUAUAACUAGAGUACUGGAGAGGUAAGCGGAACUACAAGUGUAGAGGUGAAAUUCGUAGAUAUUUGUAGGAAUGCCGAUGGGGAAGCCAGCUUACUGGACAGAUACUGACGCUAAAGCGCGAAAGCGUGGGUAGCAAACAGG
rnacentral:rRNA from 1 species